GAUGAACGCUAGCGGCAGGCUUAAUACAUGCAAGUCGUGGGGCAGCAUGAAGUAGCAAUACUUUGAUGGCGACCGGCAAACGGGUGCGGACCACGUACACAACCUUCCUUUUAGUGGGGAAUAGCCCAGAGAAAUUUGGAUUAAUACCCCGUAACAUAGCGAUGAGGCAUCUCAUUGCUAUUAUAGCUUCGGCGCUAGAUGAUGGGUGUGCGUAUGAUUAGAUAGUUGGCGAGGUAACGGCUCACCAAGUCUACGAUCAUUAGCUGAUGUGAGAGCAUGAUCAGCCACACGGGCACUGAGACACGGGCCCGACUCCUACGGGAGGCAGCAGUAAGGAAUAUUGGUCAAUGGACGAAAGUCUGAACCAGCCAUGCCGCGUGAAGGAUUAAGGUCCUCUGGAUUGUAAACUUCUUUUAUAUGGGACGAAAAAAGGUCUUUCUAGAUCACUUGACGGUACCAUAUGAAUAAGCACCGGCUAACUCCGUGCCAGCAGCCGCGGUAA
rnacentral:rRNA from 1 species